CUCGCUUUCCUCUGUUUAAAAUCUACAUGGAUCACUACCACAAUCGUUACCUCGACUUCCGCCUUCCGUCGGCGCUGGUACUGCAUUGAAGAUCACCAAUUUCUCCUUCGUUCAUUUCUGUACUGUGCUCCAAUUUUGAAGCCCUAGUUUUACCAAUUGAAGCUUUGAUUAGGUAAUCACUUCCCCAAAAUUUGAUUAAGGUGUGAUUAGGGCUCGAAAAACUUCAAUUCGAGCUUAAUUACCCGCAUUUGAUGAUGUGUUCAUCAUUACCAAACGUCGAAGAUAUUGAUGCUACAUUAAUCAGGGGACAUACUACUAUGGGCACCCCCUUUUGCCUGAUAAAAAUGGAAGUGUUCCUUGCAUAUCUGGAGUCUUGACCUGUGAAGAGAUGGAUCAACUAUAUUUUAAUAAUUGGAGUAACUAUCACAUUUCCAAUUAUUAUCUUUUUUUUACGUAAACAAUUUGUAAGACUUUUUUUUCUAGGCCUUGAAUCGUGCAGGUGGUAAAACAUGGAAUAAGGGCACUGAGGCAGCUUUGGCUGAUGUAAGUUUCAUUUGAAGAGUAAUAGAUUAAUAUUUUGCAAUACUAUUUCAUCAACAUUGUUCAAAGGAUAUUGAGAAUGUAAAGGCAAUUAUUGCAAAAAAAUAAACUAUAAGAGUUAAAUUUUUUUUUGGGUUUUA